rnacentral:rRNA from 1 species
UGGGGAAUAUUGGACAAUGGGCGAAAGCCUGAUCCAGCCAUGCCGCGUGUGUGAAGAAGGUCUUCGGAUUGUAAAGCACUUUAAGUUGGGAGGAAGGGCAGUAAGCGAAUACCUUGCUGUUUUGACGUUACCGACAGAAUAAGCACCGGCUAACUCUGUGCCAGCAGCCGCGGUAAUACAGAGGGUGCAAGCGUUAAUCGGAAUUACUGGGCGUAAAGCGCGCGUAGGUGGUUCGUUAAGUUGAAUGUGAAAGCCCCGGGCUCAACCUGGGAGCUGCAUCCAAAACUGGCGAGCUAGAGUAGGGCAGAGGGUGGUGGAAUUUCCUGUGUAGCGGAGAAAUGCGUAGAUAUAGGAAGGAACACCAGUGGCGAAGGCGACCACCUGGGCUCAUACUGACACUGAGGUGCGAAAGCGUGGGGAGCAAACAGG